AACGGACGGACGCAACGCCCGGUCUCCGCCUGCCCUAAUCGCGACUCCAGGCCGUCGUCCCCAACACACCAUGAGGACGAAGAUGGCGGCGGCGCUGGUCCGGGCCUCCGGGGGAAUCGGACCUCCUACGCCUGCCCGAUCCUCCUACUUCUCCUCGCGCUGCUCCUCGCUGUCCCCGCUCACGGCCAUCUCCAACGCCUCCUCCCACGCCUAUGCCUUCGCGGGCCGUCAGCCGGUGCCCGCCCCGGAUCCCACCUUCUUCGACGAUGUCGUCGACGCCAUCAUCGACAAGUACGGCUGGGACCCCGACGCCGAGGUCCGGGUUUGGCCGCUCGACACCGAGGGCGCGCUCGUCGACGCCGUGCAGUGCUACGAGUUCCCCGCCCGCAUGGGGCCCCGCGGUCGCGCUGGCGUGGGCCUCCGACGGGGCCGUCGACUGGAGCCGCCCCGACGCCCCCGCGGUGGAGGAGGUGGUCGGGCCCGACAGAGUCGACUUCGUGACCGGCGAUGGCGACCUGGCGUUCGGCUCCGGCGUUAGGGUCCGUGACAUGGUAGGGCCGUUCGAGCUGGUGGUCUGCGAUGGCGCUGGCAGGGGCCGCGCAGAGCUCUAGUUGCCGUCGUGUCUGCACCACCGCCCGUUGAUUAGAAUGCAUGUUCCGGCAGUCCACGCAUCAAUCACUGGCAAAUUAAAAAGGCAUGUACGCACUAAACAGAAAUUCUGUGUAGAUGAUUCUUGUAUAUGGCAGUGGCACACGCGCUAGUUGAUGAAGCCGCUGGGCCGGAAGGCCCUCUCAUUGCCAUGCUAAUGAGUAUCACGACGAACAUGUCCCCCACCUCAAUGCCUCCCUGUCGGCGGUGAGGUCUGGCCGGAUCUGUACAACCCGCAAUAUUAGUAAAGAAAAAGAAUAGCUUGAUUGUUCUAUGACUCUGUCGUGGAUAGGUAAUUUGCAUCAGAGGUUUAUAGGAUCUCCGCCAUUAGUUUCCCAUUAGAAAAUUGAGUUACUAAAUUAAGGAAGAUGUCCAAAGAGAGGUAAUCGAUGGCAUGAUAUGCAUCAGAAGAUCCUCAUCACUUAAGUAGUACUCCACCAGUCCACCUACAGUUUUGGAACAUAUAAAAACGGCAUCAAAGUGCUACCUGGCACCAAAUAAAGAGUUCAGGUCAGGGUGUUAUACUGCAGCUAAGCAGUAUAGUCUGAAUUUCUAAGUUUGAGGAGUAUUUCAGUGUUUCUAAAGAAAGGGACAAGGAUCAGGGCUAUAAUAUUGUUGAAAGACUCAGAGACAUGUACCAUGAAUUGGUUCCGCAAGCUGCGACACACAUGGUCUGCCUCCGUGUCGUCCUACCUGCUUCAGGGCCCUCUACUUCUUCCCCCAAGAUUGCCAUUAUGAUUAACAAAUCUGACGAGAGCAAUUUAAUUGGUGACACAUCAUAUUUAUUCUGCAACUGCACGUGAAUUCUCAUCUUGCGCCUACCUCUUUUGCUUACCAGGUUGCAAAAUUUCAUUAACUUAUUUGUCGAAGUAUCCUGCAAAAUCAUUUCUCUUAUGGGAAUUAGCCUAUUGUAUUGAUCUAACAAGGUCCACUUCAACCUACGUAACAAUUAUGCAGUGAAGAUGGAGAGCUUUAUGCAAAAAAAGAAAGAAAAAAAAACUAGCACAUGAUCUAUGGAGAAUAAUUUUGACAGCAACUCCAACUAUGCAAUGGAGUACACUUGAUGCAAUCAAUUCUGGUGUGUGUGUGUGUGUGUGAUGCAAUGACGUAUGAAUAACAACAGAAAAAUAUGCCUGAGGAGUAUGGGAUUAACGUGCCCUAUAUGCGGCGACCCGCGGCUACUCCUCCCAGCCCCGGAUAUGCUCUUCCGCCACCUGCGACCCGUAGCUCCAAUGAUCCACGACAAGGGAUGACGACCAACUCGGCUGGCCCUACCUCGUGCAGCUCCCUCUAAGGCUGCAGCAGCCUUCGCACGAGGCCACUACGGUGCCACCUAUGUUGUCCUGAAGUUCCCUUAGAUUCGACAGUUUCAGUUUCAUCAGUUUUGUCAGAUUUAGUUUCAUCAGAUUCAGAAAAUUCAGUUCAUCAGUUUCAUCAAAGUUUCAGUUGUCAGUUAAUUUGUCAGGCACGUUGGCACUCGCGCACGUCGUCCGCUUCCUCACAUCACUCGCUCACAUAGCCCACCUGCCGAUCCAAACAACAGCUUGGUCAGGGAUCGGACUGGACCAGACGGUGUCCACCAUGACCUCAAGGCGAUGCCCGAGUCCAAGUGCGUAUAAGUUACACCAGCCUUUGAUUUAUAUAUCCACCGUCCACUGAUCAGUGACCUGAAAAGGUUGGGCGCUCUGAGCUAGCACAUAAGCUGAUUGAUGAGAUGGAUUGAAAUGCUUUUGAUUUGUUAGGCCGUCAAUAUUCCAAACUGAAGUCCAAGGAAGAACGAUCAGGAACAGCAGGUAAGAAGACCAUGAGUUAGUUGUCUUACAGGCAUGCACAUGCACAAGGUGCUGAUACAUAGUUGCAGAUUUCCAAUGGAUGCUGGUAUUGUCGGCUGACACCUCCGGGGCUGUACAUCAUGAUGGUUACCAAGACACGACAAUGAUCUCAAUGCUACAAACCUGAAUGGAAUACCAUAACUGCAGACCUGAUCACAAUGCUACAGACUUGAAUGAAAUACCAUGAUUGCAGGCCUUUGCUGAUUUGCGUUUUCCAUUGAUCUUCAGUGCACUAAAGAAUAGUGAAAUCUUGGCAUCUAAUUCAUUUUGCAGGCUAUGCUUUUAACUCAAUGAAAAUGUGCAUUGUUAGUUGACCUUAUUGUCUGUUUGUAGCUAAUUGGGAGACAAACAUGGGCAAUGAGCAGCUUUUUUGAUGACAGUGCAAUCAAGGACUCACAUAUUCACUGAUGAAUCUACCUCUAUUUGGUACUGUGUAUAUACCUGAAAAUAGUAGCAUCGGCUUUGCAUAUUUAUUUUCUGAAUCAGCAACACUGUACUAGGUUCUUCAUCGGCAAUGUACAUAGUGAUGCUUAACUGCCGGUUUGAAUUAUUGGAUGCAUCUGUUGUGAGACAUUCAUGUGUUGUCAUAGUGACUUGCCUGCGCUCAUUGUUGAUCGCUAAGAAGUGAGUUGGUCCAGAGAUUGCAGCUGAGAUGGAGCUCAGCAGGACAACUAGACAUGCACAGCUUGGUGUUAUCCACAGAGGAGAUCACAUUUCCAGUCCAGUCAUAAAUUAUUAUAAUUAUUUUACUCAUGUUCAUACUAAAUUUGAAACGGGUCAAUCCACAAGCUUCUGAUCCUCGGUUCAUUUUUGAACUAUAUCCAUGUGUUCUAUCAAGGAUCAUUUUGGCACAUAUGGAAAAGACAAGCAAUUUUGUUACCAGAAUUAUCAUAUUUGUAAGGUCAAUCACCCAUGGGUUCUGCACUUCACUAGAAAUAAUUUGUACCCUUGACCUGAUAAGAUGUUGUUGUAUUAUGAAUUAUUCAUAGUAUGAGACCAAAUUUCUUGUUUUA